GGUCGAUGGUGAGAUGACAUGUAUUCUGAACCUCAAGAUUAAUAUUAUUUUGGCUCUAGAAUUACUCUGAGAGAUG
ensembl:snoRNA small nucleolar RNA SNORD45